UUAAGCGACUAAGCGUACACGGUGGAUGCCCUGGCAGUCAGAGGCGAUGAAGGACGUGCUAAUCUGCGAUAAGCGUCGGUGAGGUGAUAUGAACCGUUAUAACCGGCGAUUUCCGAAUGGGGAAACCCAGUGUGUUUCGACACACUAUCAUUAACUGAAUCCAUAGGUUAAUGAGGCGAACCGGGGGAACUGAAACAUCUAAGUACCCCGAGGAAAAGAAAUCAACCGAGAUUCCCCCAGUAGCGGCGAGCGAACGGGGAGGAGCCCAGAGCCUGAAUCAGUGUGUGUGUUAGUGGAAGCGUCUGGAAAGGCGUGCGAUACAGGGUGACAGCCCCGUACACAAAAAUGCACAUAUUGUGAGCUCGAUGAGUAGGGCGGGACACGUGGUAUCCUGUCUGAAUAUGGGGGGACCAUCCUCCAAGGCUAAAUACUCCUGACUGACCGAUAGUGAACCAGUACCGUGAGGGAAAGGCGAAAAGAACCCCGGCGAGGGGAGUGAAAAAGAACCUGAAACCGUGUACGUACAAGCAGUGGGAGCCUCUUAAUGGGGUGACUGCGUACCUUUUGUAUAAUGGGUCAGCGACUUAUAUUCUGUAGCAAGGUUAACCGAAUAGGGGAGCCGAAGGGAAACCGAGUCUUAACUGGGCGUUAAGUUGCAGGGUAUAGACCCGAAACCCGGUGAUCUAGCCAUGGGCAGGUUGAAGGUUGGGUAACACUAACUGGAGGACCGAACCGACUAAUGUUGAAAAAUUAGCGGAUGACUUGUGGCUGGGGGGGAAAGGCCAAUCAAACCGGGAGAUAGCUGGUUCUCCCCGAAAGCUAUUUAGGUAGCGCCUCGUGAAUUCAUCUCCGGGGGUAGAGCACUGUUUCGGCAAGGGGGUCAUCCCGACUUACCAACCCGAUGCAAACUGCGAAUACCGGAGAAUGUUAUCACGGGAGACACACGGCGGGUGCUAACGUCCGUCGUGAAGAGGGAAACAACCCAGACCGCCAGCUAAGGUCCCAAAGUCAUGGUUAAGUGGGAAACGAUGUGGGAAGGCCCAGACAGCCAGGAUGUUGGCUUAGAAGCAGCCAUCAUUUAAAGAAAGCGUAAUAGCUCACUGGUCGAGUCGGCCUGCGCGGAAGAUGUAACGGGGCUAAACCAUGCACCGAAGCUGCGGCAGCGACACUAUGUGUUGUUGGGUAGGGGAGCGUUCUGUAAGCCUGUGAAGGUGGCCUGUGAGGGUUGCUGGAGGUAUCAGAAGUGCGAAUGCUGACAUAAGUAACGAUAAAGCGGGUGAAAAGCCCGCUCGCCGGAAGACCAAGGGUUCCUGUCCAACGUUAAUCGGGGCAGGGUGAGUCGACCCCUAAGGCGAGGCCGAAAGGCGUAGUCGAUGGGAAACAGGUUAAUAUUCCUGUACUUGGUGUUACUGCGAAGGGGGGACGGAGAAGGCUAUGUUGGCCGGGCGACGGUUGUCCCGGUUUAAGCGUGUAGGCUGGUUUUCCAGGCAAAUCCGGAAAACCAAGGCUGAGGCGUGAUGACGAGGCACUACGGUGCUGAAGCGACAAAUGCCCUGCUUCCAGGAAAAGCCUCUAAGCAUCAGGUAACAUCAAAUCGUACCCAAAACCGACACAGGUGGUCAGGUAGAGAAUACCAAGGCGCUUGAGAGAACUCGGGUGAAGGAACUAGGCAAAAUGGUGCCGUAACUUCGGGAGAAGGCACGCUGAUAUGUAGGUGAAGCGACUUGCUCGUGGAGCUGAAAUCAGUCGAAGAUACCAGCUGGCUGCAACUGUUUAUUAAAAACACAGCACUGUGCAAACACGAAAGUGGACGUAUACGGUGUGACGCCUGCCCGGUGCCGGAAGGUUAAUUGAUGGGGUUAGCGGUAACGCGAAGCUCUUGAUCGAAGCCCCGGUAAACGGCGGCCGUAACUAUAACGGUCCUAAGGUAGCGAAAUUCCUUGUCGGGUAAGUUCCGACCUGCACGAAUGGCGUAAUGAUGGCCAGGCUGUCUCCACCCGAGACUCAGUGAAAUUGAACUCGCUGUGAAGAUGCAGUGUACCCGCGGCAAGACGGAAAGACCCCGUGAACCUUUACUAUAGCUUGACACUGAACAUUGAGCCUUGAUGUGUAGGAUAGGUGGGAGGCUUUGAAGUGUGGACGCCAGUCUGCAUGGAGCCGACCUUGAAAUACCACCCUUUAAUGUUUGAUGUUCUAACGUUGGCCCGUAAUCCGGGUUGCGGACAGUGUCUGGUGGGUAGUUUGACUGGGGCGGUCUCCUCCUAAAGAGUAACGGAGGAGCACGAAGGUUGGCUAAUCCUGGUCGGACAUCAGGAGGUUAGUGCAAUGGCAUAAGCCAGCUUGACUGCGAGCGUGACGGCGCGAGCAGGUGCGAAAGCAGGUCAUAGUGAUCCGGUGGUUCUGAAUGGAAGGGCCAUCGCUCAACGGAUAAAAGGUACUCCGGGGAUAACAGGCUGAUACCGCCCAAGAGUUCAUAUCGACGGCGGUGUUUGGCACCUCGAUGUCGGCUCAUCACAUCCUGGGGCUGAAGUAGGUCCCAAGGGUAUGGCUGUUCGCCAUUUAAAGUGGUACGCGAGCUGGGUUUAGAACGUCGUGAGACAGUUCGGUCCCUAUCUGCCGUGGGCGCUGGAGAACUGAGGGGGGCUGCUCCUAGUACGAGAGGACCGGAGUGGACGCAUCACUGGUGUUCGGGUUGUCAUGCCAAUGGCACUGCCCGGUAGCUAAAUGCGGAAGAGAUAAGUGCUGAAAGCAUCUAAGCACGAAACUUGCCCCGAGAUGAGUUCUCCCUGACUCCUUGAGGGUCCUGAAGGAACGUUGAAGACGACGACGUUGAUAGGCCGGGUGUGUAAGCGCAGCGAUGCGUUGAGCUAACCGGUACUAAUGAACCGUGAGGCUUAACCUU
rnacentral:rRNA from 2 species